AAGUCGUAACAAGGUUUCCGUAGGUGAACCUGCGGAAGGAUCAUUGAGGGAGAGAGGGGAGAGAUGUUGGAAUGAAAUAUAGAUAUCACGUGACAAGAAAUCAUUUUUCAAAAUGACUAGCCACCUGGGAUCUCUGGGCUCUU
rnacentral:misc_RNA from 1 species